UGACAAGAGCAAACUAAUAGAUA
rnacentral:siRNA from 1 species